rnacentral:misc_RNA from 1 species
UUGACAUUUGUUUUCUACAGACAAUAAAGUCUCGAUGGAGCAUAAAGACGACGCCUCUCGGCGCCGAAGCACAUCUUGUGUCCACAGUGGUUUGAGGGUAAGAAGAUCAAGGAUGAUCAUUCGUUAAUGAUCCCUCCGCAGGUUCACCUACGGAGA